rnacentral:lncRNA from 1 species
CUCUUCCCGGGUGGGUUUUUCUCUGGUGGACAGACUGGGCCCGCAGGGAUCUCAGCCUCCAGAAUCCCCUUGUCGCACUGUGGCUCGAUCUGUGUGGAAGAGGCCGGGGACGGUCUGAGACAGCACCCAAGGACGGGAACAGGGGGACCGCAGGCUCCAGGAGGAACGAGGAGGGCUAAGCCGGUCCACAACAGUGGCUCACGGAGGGUUCAGGGGUUUGAACAUCGGAGACUUAACAGUCCUAACAAGCAUGAGACGCAUACAUCAGUGUGGCAAAUUUCGUGGAGACUCUGGGGGCGGGGGACGCAGCAGGACUUGGGGACAGCUGUGCGAUCACCCUUGCCCCCACCCACCGCGUCUUCUGACCUACGGGAAACGAAAGCUCAGCUUGGAAUCCAGGCGGCCAACGCGCCUCCAUUCCGGGAGAAGUCUGGGAACGCGGGAAGGUCCUUCUCCACUCGCGCCUUUUUUAGGGAGCCUGUCCUGGGUGCGACAGGCUGACAGUGCAGCCCAGGGAAUAUUGGGAAAUCCUGUCCCCGAUGUCUGGGGCACCUGGUCAGAGACCAGAACCACUGCAAAGAAAUUAUCCUGGUGGGGCGUCUGGAAUCUUUCAGUCACACGACCAGGAAGGAGGGGACAUUUUCUGAACACAUAGUUUAUAGCCUUAAAAUGUUAGUAAUAAACUGGGUUCCUCACCUCUUCCC